rnacentral:lncRNA from 1 species
CGCUUGUGGAGCUCAGUAAACAGGUGGAGCUGCAGCCACUGUGCUCCAGCCAGAGGAUCGCUGAGAGUUUACAGUGAAUUAAGCCCCGGAACUGAAAGACUGCACGUGACUGGGAUGUAACAUCAAAGCUUGGCAGAGGAAGUGGGCGUCUCCACUUUGAAACAGGACGUGCUCCAGACACCACAUUACACAGCUGGUGUGAUAAGCUUUCAUUAAAGAGCCGAGACUCAAGACUCACUUGAUUGUAGCUCUGCGUCACAGCCCACCUUUCCACUACUGUCCACAUCCCAUCAUCAAGCCUGGUGAGUACUGUACCUGGGAAUCGUGGAACUAAAACUGCAUAAGGUAGAGAUUGAG